AAACGGAUGUUGAACGGAUGAGAAACGGACUCAUACCGGACGUAUAACGGAUAAAACGGAUGAUGAACGGAUCUGAAACGGAUAAAUGCCAAUUGAAAAUUUCUCGUCAGAAAUGCCAAUUAUUGGUAUGUCAGAUUUCUAAAGGUUCGUGAAUUCUUAUUAUUCAUAAUCGAUCUUAGAGUAUAGGCACGUCUUCACAAUCAAGCAGCUCUUAUUCAGG
rnacentral:lncRNA from 1 species